AGCAGCCGCGGUAAUUCCAGCUCCAAUAGCGUAUAUUAAAGUUGUUGCAGUUAAAAAGCUCGUAGUUGAACUUCGGGGUUUACCCAUUGGUCAGGUUUAAUUAUCUGUACUGGUGAGAUAAAUCUCUACCUUCUGAGGAACUUUCAUGCCAUUUAUUUGGUGUGGGAGGAAAUCAGGACUGUUACUUUGAAAAAAUUAGAGUGUUUAAAGCAGGCUAACGUCUGAAUACAUUAGCAUGGAAUAAUGAAAUAGGACGGACUGAUUCUAUUUCGUUGGUUUCUAGGAUCACCGUAAUGAUUAAUAGGGAUAGUUGGGGGCAUUAGUAUUCAAUUGUCAGAGGUGAAAUUCUUGGAUUUAUUGAAGACUAACUACUGCGAAAGCAUUUGCCAAGGAUGUUUUCAUUAAUCAAGAACGAAAGUUAGGGGAUCGAAGACGAUCAGAUACCGUCGUAGUCUUAACCAUAAACUAUGCCGACUAGGGAUCGGACGAAGUUAAUUUAUAAUGACGCGUUCGGCACCUU
rnacentral:rRNA from 1 species